rnacentral:rRNA from 1 species
UACGUAGGGCGCAAGCGUUGUCCGGAAUUAUUGGGCGUAAAGAGCUCGUAGGUGGUUUGUUACGUCUGCUGUGAAAACCUAGGGCUUAACCCUGGGCCUGCAGUGGAUACGGGCAGACUAGAGGUAGGUAGGGGAGAAUGGAAUUCCCGGUGUAGCGGUGAAAUGCGCAGAUAUCGGGAGGAACACCGGUGGCGAAGGCGGCCUACUGGGCCAGCACUGACGCUGAGGAGCGAAAGCGUGGGGAGCGAACAGG